UACGUAGGGUGCAAGCGUUAAUCGGAAUUACUGGGCGUAAAGCGUGCGCAGGCGGUUAUGUAAGACAGAUGUGAAAUGCCCGGGCUUAACCUGGGAACUGCAUUUGUGACUGCAUGGCUAGAGUUUGGCAGAGGGGGGUAGAAUUCCACGUGUAGCAGUGAAAUGCGUAGAGAUGCGGAGGAACACCGAUGGCGAAGGUAGCCCCCUGGGUCGACACUGACGCUCAGGCACGAAAGCGUGGGGAGCAAACAGG
rnacentral:rRNA from 1 species